GGGUUGUAAACCUCUUUUCACAGGGAAGAAUAAUGGCGGUACCUGUGGAAUAAGCUUCGGCUAACUACGUGCCAGCAGCCGCGGUAAUACGUAGGAAGCAAGCGUUAUCCGGAUUUAUUGGGCGUAAAGUGAGCGUAGGUGGUCUUUCAAGUUGGAUGUAAAAUUUCCCGGCUUAACCGGGACGAGUCAUUCAAUACUGUUGGACUAGAGUACAGCAGGAGAAAACGGAAUUCCCGGUGUAGUGGUAAAAUGCGUAGAUAUCGGGAGGAACACCAGAGGCGAAGGCGGUUUUCUAGGUUGUCACUGACACUGAGGCUCGAAAGCGUGGGGAGCGAACAGAAUUAGAUACUCUGGUAGUCCACGCCGUAAACGAUGGACACUAGGUAUAGGGAGUUUCGACCCUCUCUGUGCCGAAGCUAAC
rnacentral:rRNA from 1 species